AUUAGCAUAAUAGUAUAGAAACAAGGAAACUUUUCCGAGCUGUCAAUCAGGGCCCAAUCAGCUGACUGUCAGCUGGGACGCACGGGCUUAACCCUUCCAACGCCGCUGUCUCCCGGGGAGAGGGCAAAACCAGGCGCAAAGUUUGGUGCAAGAGGGGAAAGAGUUUUCCAGAGGGCCUGCGGGAACUCGGGAGGAUCGAGAGAAAGGUUUGCUUUACUUCGGAGUUCGACAGAGACUUGCCUUCCGGAGCCCCAACUGGCCCACCCUUCACUCUGCCUGACUGCCCUCCCCUGCCUGCCUCGGUGCCCCGGAUUGUGAAUUAGCCUGGCAGCCUUCCCUCCUCGUUCCACCUUCAGCACCCAGGUGCCUGCCUCGGGGACCUUCCUUUCCCCAGCCUGGCUGUGCCCGAAGCUCAAACUUGGCCCCAACUCUUUGUCCCUCUCCCGGUGCCUGCGCGCGGAGGUACAGGGGUCCCGACUGCACGCAGGACACUGCUCAGCUGCCCUGCGGCCAGGGUGAUGCGGGGUCCGCGGAGCAAGUCCGUUUUAAUCACCCUCUUUUAUAGGAGGUGAAAUAAGUUGUUCAGGGGCCAUUACGCUCAGGGACAGACUGUUCGCAAACGUGGUGUACCCUAGGGGGUAGCGAACGCCUACGAGAGUUAACUCCGGGAAAGCUCAGAGUCAGGUCAGUCCCGCUCAGUCCUCUCGCUUCCGACUCCAGCUUGAGUUUGACCUUUGAGAUUCAUAUUCGUUUCUCUCUCUCUCUCUCUCUCUCUCUCUCUCUCUCUUUCUCUUCUCUCCCCCCUCCUUCCCUCUCUCCUCCUUCCUUCCCUCUCUCCCCUCUUGUCCCCCUUCACUCACACACACAUUCUUACACACACAUUCGUACACAUGCUCAACCACCCCUAUGAAAUCUGACCGCGGUUAUCAGGGUCCGCGCGCCCUUUGCACUUUUACAUUUCACUAGUUAUCUUACACUCAAUCGUGGCGAGGAACGAGGGGGAAAAACAACACCCCAGCCUUUGCAGCUCUCCGCGAAGGGUUAAAUUUUAAACCGCGGUUUCUCGGACAAGCCCGGAAACCCAGAGUGGGGGUGGGGUGGGGAACUGCUUCUCCCCCUCCCCGUUGCAGAUGCUAAUAACUGUUCAAUGUUCUAGAUCGAUUCUUUUAAAGCUUAUGCAAAAAGAAAAAGGAAAGAGAAGAAAAAGAACUAACAACUCUGUUUCUAAGAUUUUAAAGCGAUAGGCAAGUCGGAGACACUGAGAUUUAUUUGGGGGAAAGCAAGAGCGCUAGCGGACCCGGCGUUUGGAAGACCAGCCUGCCUGCUUGCUUGGAUGUUGGAACUGUUGAUUCCUCCAAUUAAUGAAAUGCAUUUAGUGUUAGUAAUAUACACACUUUUACUGUCUGGGUGGGGGAGACGUUAGGAGGGUGCAUUAAAAAAAAAAUUCUGAAAAGCCUGCAAAAGGAUGGAAGAGUGAAAACUAUUGUUGGACCGAGUUGGUUUUUACCUCAACAGCGCCACCUUUCGGCAAAGGAGUGAACAGCAUGCAGGAUCAGUUUUACUAGGCCCAGCAGACACGGUGCCUAGGACCCAUGAGACUGUUUGGAGCCCAGGAAAACAUGUCCCUCACCUGCAAAAUCGGAUACAGUUGGGAUCAGAGAUUGUGCCUGUUGUGUGAAGCCAUGGAGGAGCUUCGUGAAUGGUUGGUUGCUCUUUGAAUUUCCUACCACCUCCCUGAGUUGUUGAUGCAGCUGGGUGGAAAACGUGGUUCAGACGUUUGGGACCAGAAACCAAAGUGGAAAUCAGUACCUCUUGCUGGGAUGAAAUUCUGGCUGAAUGAAGGGAUGCAGUGAAAUAUCUGGGUAGGAAAGGUGCAUGGUUCCUCUCCCAGCACCAGCUGCCGCCGCCAGAGACGGCCCUUUUCAGCCUUGAGUCACAGCUGCUUCCAGGCACAUGGACACUAUUUUGUAAUCAUCAAAUAAUAUGCUGGCCCAUCCCCGUGUUCACAUGCCCAAAUCGUGCUCAUCUCCAAGGCGCAGCUCACGUGCAAGGCUGCACAAGAAGUGCAGCACAGGGACUGGCCUCUAAUAAGCAUUUAGCAAAGGCUCGUUGUUGAUGCAAUGCCACCGCCUCCCAGAAGCCUCACUGGCUCCUGCCUUUCAUUUGCAGAUCCCCACAGGGAUGGACAAAUGGACAAGUAGAGAUACACUGUUUCAGCCCUGGCUGGUGUGGCUCAGGUGGUUGGAGCAUCGUACAAUUAACUGAACAGUCGUGGGUUCAAUCCUGGUCAGGGCACAUGCCUAGGUUACAGGUUCAGUCCCCACUCAGGGCACGUGUGAGAAGCAACCAACUGAUAUUUCUCUACCUCUCUCCCUCCCCUUGUCUCGGAAAUCAAUAAGCAUGUUCUUGGGUGAGGAUAAAAAAAUAAGGAAAAAAAAUUAAAAGAGCCAUAUUUUAAAAAAAGAUAUACUAUCCUAACUAUAAAGUAAUGUAAUGUGGUUGACUGUAGUAUAGUGUAAUAUAAUAUAAUAUAACAUAAGAUAAUAUAACAGCACUGUAUAUCAUACCAUACUGUAUCAUAUCACGUGGCAGGCUUUGGGAAGGGCAGCCCCGCUUUGUAUCCAUCUCGAGAACAACCGUCCCCAGUGUGGAGCCUCAGAGGUGUUUGGUGAGGAUGGGCAGCGGACCAAAUGAAUCAUUUUACCUGUGCGGUAUGACGCCUUUCAUCUAAAAAUCCUGUUUCUGCCAUGGCGAUGUCAUCACUAUUACAGUCCUAUACUUGUCUCAGUCACACAAGAAGAACACGUGACUAAAAGGACAAGACCGGAGACAGAUCAAGUGAGCUGAACUCUGUAGACCUGCAGCUCCCUGGCUGCCAGUGGCGGUGGGCGCCCACAGGUGUCGGGCUGAACCUGCUCACCUUAGACUGUCCACCCGGCACUCUCGGUGGAACCCACCGAGGAAGUCGGUUUUACGGGUGGGUGGAAAAGGCGUGAGAUGGCGAAUGCGGCUGAUGCAGAGCUUUCCUAGCUUCAUCUUUUCCUUUUCUUUAAAAAAAAGUCUAUUUUCUCAAAUGUCUGUGGCCAUCCCUAAAUUGGCAUUGGCUGCACACAGACAUGCAUGGGUCCGUUUGCAGGUUGGUGUUGCGUGUUGAAGUGCGUGGGAUGUGCUGAGAAAUGAAGACUUUGUGUCUUGUGCAACCAGGAGCCUGUCUCCUCUCCUGACCUCACAGCACACACAGGAAGGCCAAUAAAAACCCUCGGGUUUCCUCCCUCAGGUCCUCCUCCCACCUUACAGCCUCAUGUUGUUGGUGCGAGACACUUAAUCAAAGCACAAACAACUCCAAUAAUGCCCCUGAAAUUAUGUUCACAUCUGCAAUCAGAAUUGCUAAUAUUUCGCCUCCCUCUACCAUCCUGGUAUCAUCUGAUUUCAGGUCCCUUGUGGUGACUAAGAGUCUUGUCAUUAAUAUAACACCCACCAACUUCAUUGAAAUUUACUGUCAGAAAGGUCUGUUUCCAGAAACUCCCUGAGCCGAAUGUAGCUGCUGUGCUGGUCCCUGUUGGCCACUGCACAAGUCUGUGUGUUUUCUUGGUAGUGGAAUCACUUCCCAAAUGUGGACACCGACAUGAGAUAUCCAUAUUUACGUGACAGGGAGGUAAGGCUUGGCUUAAAGCUACCUGCUGGCAGAAUUCAGCUUCUAGAAGCUAGCACUCUAUUGCCCACAUUCUUACCUUUUCAACAACACUGGUGCGAUUUAGUAGUGAUGUAAUAAGAAGGGUGAUGAUAAUAACAAUAAUGAGCAGAAUAAUAAAGCUACCAGUGCACAGGGAAUACUGGUGAGAGACAAACCAUGCAAACCCAUGAAGAAGCAGUAACUCAAAUCCGGAAUAUGGAAAAGUCUGUGAGACACGUGUUCUAGUUUCUUGUACAAUUAAAUAACCUGGAAAAGGCGGGGGUGGGGGAGGACUAUUGCGAUGAGAACAGACGGUCGUCUAGGAGGUGGCUCAGAGCAGCAGACCAGCGAGAGAGCGGACUGGAGGGAGAAGCAGGGGCACGCGCUGCCCACACUGCGUUUCCUCCCCCACGCCUCCCCUUCCGCCCUGGCUGACUCUCACCUGUGAGACCCCCUUCCUGGGGAGGCCUUCUCUGACUGGCCCUCCUCAUCCAGGAGGGGUGAUGUAUUUCCACUCUCUGCCCCAAGGGCCCCCUGGCAUAUGACUUAUGAGACUGAACAUUGCAAUUACACAUCUUUUUAAUUAAAAAAAUGGAGGUAAUUGUAAAUCCACACGCAGUUAAAAGGAAUAAUACACAAUGUUAUUUACCGCACAUGCGGAUUCCUCGGACCACCACCACCGCCAGCGAGAGACAGAACAUUUCUGUCACAAACAGUCCCUCCUGCAGGCUUUUUAAUGGCCUUUCUCUUAUCUGUUUCCCUCAUCGUUCCGUGAGUACCACGGGCCAGGGGUCUUAGGUUUAAUCUCGGUGUCCUGGUUUGUGCUAACUCCAACCGGCACGUGGCUUUUAGGGGGUCCCACGUGACCUCCGUGGAAUAGAUGCAAAUUCUAUGACAGUAAUAGAGUAGAGAAUUAGGAAGGCUUUGGGAAAGAGGGAGGGAAAACGUCGGAAGUAGCAACGUACUAAAGAGAUACAAUGUAUCAGACCUUUUCUUUCAUAGAGGAUUGUGAAGAUCUCAGGGGUAACUGCCUUCAACGAUCACCUGUUCAGGUGAUAACGAAGAGAGACUUGCAGCAGGGGAGGGAUGGAUUUCUCUGUGAAAUGAAGCAUGAACACCAGACUUUUACUUUCUGGUUCUAAUUUGCUUCCUUUGGCAUCAUCUUUCCAUGAAUAUGGGGGCUUUGAGUUUAAUGCACUAGAAAAUUAUGGACUGGGGACAUGUUAGGCCUGGUGGGCAAGCAAUCUGAGCAAGGAAUGGGAGGCACCUGGCACGAGUCUCAGGAUUUAUCUCCUCUAGACCAUCUCAGGACAGACUUGGCAGAGGGCAAGUUUUCUGUCACUGGGCUUAGCCCAACUCUUGUAUUUCGUCUUGCUAGUGGAAGAAUUUUCAGAAAAUGUCUUGGAGUAGCAGGGACCCUUUAGAUGAUCCCCAACUACCUAGUCAUAUGCCUCAUUGAUGCAAGAAGUCACCUGUGAGACUCCUGACUUGCUAGGUUCCGUUGAAUGAACAGGUGUCAAAGCAGGCCAAGCCCAGGACUUGAGAGCACAGUGGCCAGUUGACCCGUCAUUGAGAUCAUUAAGUGUCAGGUCUUCACGUAAGGGAAAGGCUUGUUGUAUGUCAGGCUUUGCACUAGUUGUGUAGAUAAAGGGAUAAAGAAAUCCUGUCACUCAUCCAUACAUCAUCCCAUCUGCCUGCUCGCCCAUU